rnacentral:rRNA from 1 species
GAUCUGGUGGUCAUGGCGCCGGCGAAACACCCGAUCCCAUCCCGAACUCGGCCGUGAAAACCGGCUGCGCCAAUGGUACUGCGUCUUAAGGCGUGGGAGAGUAGGUCGCCGCCAGGUCU